UGUUAAGCUACUAAGAGCACAUGGUGGAUGCCUUGGCGCCAGAAGGCGAUGAAGGACGUGGUAAGCUGCGAUAAGCUUCGGGGAGCCGCAAACAGGCGUUGAUCCGGAGAUCUCCGAAUGGGGCAACCCAGUAAGGUCAACCCUUACUACCCCCCGCUGAAUCCAUAGGCGGGCGGGAGCUAACCCAGGGAAGUGAAACAUCUCAGUACCUGGAGGAAAAGAAAUCAACAGAGAUUCCGGCAGUAGCGGCGAGCGAACCCGGAAGAGCCCAAACCGGCAGCGAGUAAUCCCUGCCGGGGUUGUAGGACGGCAACAUGGAACGAUAGCGCUAGUCGAACGGUCUGGAAUGGCCGGCCACAGACGGUGAGAGCCCGGUAGGCGAAAGCGCGACAAUCCCUAGCCUGUUCCUGAGUAGCGCGGAUCACGUGAAACUCCGCGUGAAGCUGGGGAGACCACUCUCCAAGGCUAAAUACUCUCUGGCGACCGAUAGUGCACUAGUACCGUGAGGGAAAGGUGAAAAGCACCCCUGCGAGGGGAGUGAAAUAGUACCUGAAACCGUGUGUUUACAAACAGUCGAAGCACUAUGUUUUCGGACAGUGCGACGGCGUGCCUUUUGCAUAAUGAUCCGGCGAGUUAAUGUACGUGGCAAGCUUAAGGGCCUUUGGCCCGCAGGCGCAGCGAAAGCGAGUCCUAACCGGGCGUCCCAGUCGCGUGCAUUAGACCCGAAGCGAGGUGAUCUAGCCAUGGCCAGGGUGAAGCGUGCCUAACCGCUCGUGGAGGCCCGAACCAGUAUACCUUAAAAAGUGUUUGGAUGAGCUGUGGCUAGGGGUGAAAGGCCAAUCAAACUUCGUGAUAGCUGGUUCUCUCCGAAAUGCCUUGAGGGGCAGCCUCGUGUGUUUAAUCGUGGGGGUAAAGCACUGAAUGGACUAGGGGCAUCACCAUGCUACCGAACCCAAUCAAACUCUGAAUCCCACGAUUUCAGAGCACGGGAGUGAGACAGUGGGGGAUAAGCUUCAUUGUCGAAAGGGAAACAACCCAGACCGCCGGCUAAGGUCCCUAAGGAUACGCUCAGUGGGAAAGGAUGUGGAAUUUCUCAGACAACCAGGAUGUUGGCUUAGAAGCAGCCAUUCAUUUAAAGAGUGCGUAAUAGCUCACUGGUCAAGAGAUUCUGCGCCGAAAAUGUAACGGGGCUAAGCGUAUCACCGAAGCCGCGGGAUUGAACCCGCAAGGGUUUGAUCGGUAGGAGAGCGUUCACAGGGCGGUGAAGGUCUAGCGCAAGCAGGGCUGGAGCGCUGUGAAGUGAGUAUGCCGGAAUUAGUAACGAUAAAACGGAUGAAAAAUCCGUUCGCCGCAAGCCUAAGGUUUCCUGGGCAAUGUUAAUCAUCUCAGGGUUAGGCGGCCGCUAAGGCGAGGCCGACAGGCGUAGCCGAUGCAAAGCAGGCGAAAAUUCCUGCCCCGCUGGCAGGCGACAAAGACGCGACGGGGUGACGCAUCUACACGACCCAACCGUGCCGCUGGUCGAGCACGGCCUCCCGCGUAGGAGGUGUGGCAGGCAAAUCCACCACACAUUACUUCGAGACGGGCGGGGAAACAAGCCGCGAGGCGAGUGAACUGGGUCCAAGGGGUGCCAAGAAAAACCUCUAGCGAGCCUGACAGCGACCGUACCAUAAACCGACACAGGUAGGCGAGGCGAGUAGCCUCAGGCGCUCGGGAUAACUCGGGAGAAGGAACUCGGCAAAAUAGCCCCGUAACUUCGGGAGAAGGGGUGCUCCACAAGGUGAUGGGACUUGCUCCCAGAGCUGAGCGGAGUUGCAAUAAAUUGGCUCAGGCGACUGUUUAGCAAAAACACAGGGCUCUGCAAAACCGUAAAGGUGACGUAUAGGGCCUGACGCCUGCCCGGUGCCGGAAGGUUAAGAGGAGGGGUCAGCCGCAAGGCGAAGCUCUGAAUUGAAGCCCCGGUAAACGGCGGCCGUAACUAUAACGGUCCUAAGGUAGCGAAAUUCCUUGUCGGGUAAGUUCCGACCUGCACGAAUGGCGUAACGAUCUGAGCGCUGUCACCUCCCGAGACCCGGUGAAGUUGAAAUACCAGUGAAGAUGCUGGUUACCCGCAUCAAGACGGAAAGACCCCGUGGACCUUUACUAUAACCUGUUAUUGGCACCAGGCAACGCAUGUAGAGGAUAGGUGGGAGACUUUGAAGCGGGGGCGCCAGCCCUCGUGGAGUCACCCUUGGAAUACCACCCUUGCGUUGUUUAGUGUCUAACCCACCCCCCUGAAGCGGGGGGGGGAACCGUGACAGGCGGGUAGUUUGACUGGGGCGGUCGCCUCCCAAAGUGUAACGGAGGCGCACAAAGGUUCCCUCAGCACGGUCGGCAAUCGUGCAUUGAGCGCAAGAGUAAAAGGGAGCUUGACUGCGAGACUGACAAGUCGAGCAGGGACGAAAGUCGGUUCUAGUGAUCCGGCGGUGCCGCGUGGAAGGGCCGUCGCUCAUCGGACAAAAGGUACCCCGGGGAUAACAGGCUUAUCGCGCCCAAGCGUCCACAGCGACGGCGCGGUUUGGCACCUCGAUGUCGGCUCAUCGCAUCCUGGGGCUGUAUUCGGUCCCAAGGGUUGGUCUGUUCGCCCAUUAAAGCGGUACGUGAGCUGGGUUCAGAACGUCGCGAGACAGUUCGGUCCCUAUCUGAUGUGGGCGCAGGAGAUUUGAGAGGAUUUGACCUUAGUACGAGAGGACCGGGUUGAACAAACCUCUGGUGUUCCGGUUGUCGCGCCAGCGGCAGCGCCGGGUAGCCAGGUUUGGAGCGGAUAACUGCUGAAAGCAUCUAAGCAGGAAGCCGACCUCAAGAUAAGAUCUCCCAAGCCGUAAGGCUUCUGAAGACUCCCGGAAGACCACCGGGUUGAUAGGCUGGGGAUGGAAGCGCGGCAACGCGUGGAGUCGACCAGUACUAAUCGUCGUGCGGCUUAACUUU
rnacentral:rRNA from 13 species